rnacentral:rRNA from 1 species
UUUUGUGUUUUUUUUAUUUUAUUUUUUGUAAAAUGUUUUAAUUUUUUUUUUUUUAAAAGGAUUCUGAAAGUUUUUUAUUUGAACUGGAUUAGUACCCAGGUAAUUUAAUUUUAUUAAUUCGGGAGUAAAGUUUUAUUUAAACCGAAAAAAUAUUGACKGACCUUGUAUUUUUCUUUGGAAUAUGKGUUKGGAUACCCCCCCUUUUUAGGGAAUUUUUUAGGCACAUGUAUGAUUGUUUAGUUUUUAUAUUUUUUGAAAGGUUUUUAUKGUUUUUUGUUAAAACAAAUAUAUAUUGGGUUUAUAUUUUCAUUUUUCAGGUAUUACUAUUAUAAAUUUUUUUGGGAUUUUUUUUUUGUUUAUUUUUAAAAUGGAAAAAAAAAGAAAUUUUUUUUUUAUGGUUUGGGGAAAUU